ensembl:lncRNA
GAUGUGGAAUCUGCAGUCCGAACUUGAGGGGUGAAUAUUUUCAUUUCAAUAAUCUGAACAUGAUACUGGAAGAAUGUUUCCAGCUGAAAGGGUUGCCUGGGUAAACUGCAGCUUUCAAAGUUCAUGUUUGCACGCUGUUGGCUUUGUACUACAUUUCUUCAUCCACCCUUAUUAAUCUACACCAUGACAUUUCUUAAACCAGACACACUAUAAACCAGAUCUGACUCUUCAGUGUGACUGCAAACUUUCAACCACCUCACUUCAUUGGGUGAACAUUCAGUUACGAAACAUUCGACACGUGACAUUUUUGUUGUCGAUGACUUCAAACCCAGCA